UCCCGACCCCGACCCCUCCACCGAGGUUGCCGGCGUCCUCUGUGGGUACCGACGACCUCGGUGGAGGGGUCGGGGUCGGGG
rnacentral:pre_miRNA from 1 species